UAUCACAAUUGGGCAUCCUGACAAAAC
rnacentral:piRNA from 1 species